rnacentral:rRNA from 1 species
CCUACGGGGGACAGCAGUGGGGAAUAUUGCACAAUGGGGGAAACCCUGAUGCAGCAACGCCGCGUGAAGGAAGACGGUUUUCGGAUUGUAAACUUCUGUUCUUAGUGAAGAAUAAUGACAGUACCUAAGGAGGAAGCUCCGGCUAACUACGUGCCAGCAGCCGCGGUAAUACGUAGGGAGCGAGCGUUAUCCGGAAUUAUUGGGUGUAAAGGGUGCGUAGACGGGAAAACAAGUUAGUUGUGAAAUCCCUCGGCUUAACUGAGGAACUGCAACUAAAACUAUUUUUCUUGAGUGCAGGAGAGGUAAGUGGAAUUCCUAGUGUAGCGGUGAAAUGCGUAGAUAUUAGGAGGAACACCAGUGGCGAAGGCGACUUACUGGACUGUAACUGACGUUGAGGCACGAAAGUGUGGGGAGCAAACAGGAUUAGAUACCCGUGUAGUC